rnacentral:lncRNA from 1 species
AUGAAAAAUUCACUAAGGUGCUGCUGGACUCUGGAAAAAUCUUCAUUCGGCUGUUCCCCGUUUGCAAGCCACUUUCACCUGCCUGCCUUCUUGAUACAGAGCCUAAGUGUGCAGUUGUUCGACAGGCAGCAUGGCGGUGACAUGGUGGCAAGUCCCAUCUUUCCUGAGCAGAUGAAUCACCUAAGCUGAGCAUGUGGAUCUCACCCCUGUAUGCCAUGACUGACAUAGGAAAGGAUCCAUAACACGGUAACACCCAGUGAGACCUACAAGAGUAAGAGGCUUCAGGAAAAGGUUAAACAUCCAACCUUUCCACACCUAGGAGACUACUUAAGCCACGGUGUCUGAAGCUGUCAAGGGUCACACUAUGGCUGCAGAAUAGAGAGACAAAAGUGCCGGGUCUGAGAAAGUAUGGAUCCAUUUAACCAAACUUGAGCCUGUCUCUACUUCCUGUUUUCCUGGCAAAAACUUCUACAAGAGUAUGGCUAAUUGUUGUUUUUAUUGUUUGCACCAGGACUUAUCCUAACCAGUCUUACUGGCUGCUGCCUGGUAAUGGAAUGACUUCAAGGAUAUGUUCUUGUUCCAUUUUAUUUUUAAGAUCAGUUCAGAGACAGGUGUGAUGGUGCACACCUGUAAUCCAACUUCUUAGGAGGCUGAAGCAGGAGGAGCUUGAGUUUAAGGGCAGGGUGGAUUAUGUAACAAGAAUGAUGUCAGCCCGGGCUGUACAGUAAUACCCUGUCUCAAAAUAACAGCAACAGCAAUGCAGUCUGUCCAGGAGAUACUCUACAUCCUCCUGUAAGAAUGAAUCAUUCUUGCUGUGUUGUGGGUGAUCCAGAGAAAACAAGUUAUGGGAGGUGAGUUGGAGUGGAUAAACUACAAGGCUGUGCAAACAAUGAGCUUCUUUAAUACCACAGUAGGUAUAAUCUUUAUGAGCAUCACAUUUGCUAGGAUUCAAGUAGCCACUCCACCAUUACUAGCUGUGUGACCUUGAAAUAAUACUUCAGCUUCUGUUUCCUCACUGGUAGUAUUGAGGUUAUUUGAAUAAGAAGUGAAUGAGCAUAAAGUAUCUCAUGCAAAUUAAAGCCUUGUUAUAUAUUUGUAAUAAUCCUGUGUAACCAUUGUAUUUCCUUUGCUAUCAGGUGACCGUUACCUAUUUAAAGUGGAAACUAUCAAGGAGAAGUGAUCCAUCAGUCACAAAUUUAGUGACAAACAGAAACACUUGACCUAGUACACAGAAGAGAGAUUUAUUAGGGGCUAGUUGAAAAGUCAUAAAAUGACUGAGAGGGUGAAAGGUUAUGCUUCCAGGAGUAAGACUUAAUCACACUGCAGAAAUACCUGGUGGAGACACAGUGUCUGCACAGACAGGCAAAGUCACCAGCUCCAUGAAUGGACAUAGGGUCUUGUGGUCAUCUUUAAUGCCUCUGUCUCAGGUACCUCUAGGAAUGGGUAACCCAUGACCACCAUUGACAGACUGGGCUUCAUGGAAACCCUUCUUGAUGUCAUUAAUCUCCAAAUAAAUCCUAGUAUCUACUGAAUGGAGCCCUGUGU